GGAAGGUGACUUAGAUGCUAGCUCGACAGCUGGUUUACCUGGUUUUCAUGUGAAGAGUACGUGGAAGUUUGAAUCUCUCUUCUUGGUUUUGCAAAUAUCUACGUAAAGUGCCGAUACUUCUUUGUAUUACAAUAUCAACUUACUGGCGUUGUGAGGGCCACACAUUUAUGAUGCUGUAGCUGCUAUAUUUAUUUAAAUGGAGAUGGACAAUUACUGCACUAAGGAAUGAGGAGAUAAGCAAGGAAUCAAGAGAGCCAUUCAUGCUGCCUUUAUUUGAAUGCUGCCUGUCCCGUGGUGUCUCUGCUGUGCUCCUGCAGCUUCCCUGCUGACUGUAAGGCCGUGAGGAAUGUUGUUGGCGGAGGUUGGGAAGUGGGAAUGUGGUACUGAGCACUGAACAUCACUGAAGGUCAGUGCUUGCUCCGCUCAGUUGGCCAAGCAAUACCCACUGGAGCAGUGCUACAGCUAAGGAGCCUUUGGUGUUUGGAGCGUGCCAGCAAAGCAGUGUUUGUGCAGUGCAGAGGAGAACGGAGUGCUGAGCAGAGCUGCUGUGUGAGGCUGAGGUGAGGUUUGGCUGCUGGCAGUUUGCACACAGCUGCCUUCCUCGGGGCUUUGGUUGUGUUCAUUGCAGCCUCCUGGGGCUGUAGCUUUCAGGUUCCUUUGGAUUUGCUUUCUGCUCCUCAGCAGAGCGCUGCCUUUUCUGCACUUGUCAGUGUUCGAUCCGUUGAAUCUCACCUCGAGGAAACUCCACGUUGUUUUCCUGUAGGUAAACCUGCUUUUAGACGCUGCAUUUUCUUGUCUGUUCCACGGGCAAUCCUGCAAAGCCUCAGCACAGCAAUAGCAUUGACAGAAUGGGUGCUCAGUGAUCUCACAGCUGUGAGCAGAGGCACAGUGGGGCCUCACCAUGCAGCUCUCCUGUCCGUGCUGGUUGGUUUCCUCCCUUGCUGUGAGCAGUUUGGCUUCCCCGGGUGUGUGAAAUGGGUGGAGAAAUGGCCCUGUAAUUUGUUUUGUGGGGGAGAACUCAUCUGUUAGAAUGCACCGAGGCAUCUGAUCAUAGAUAAGAGUGUUGUCAUGGAGAGGUGUCACUUAAAGCUUUCAUUGUAAUUGGUGGCAAUUGGUGAUGAGGCAGUUUGGGUAUUGGAACAUCUCUGGGAGGCGGUGGCUCAGGUGGCAGUGUGUGCCAUAAGCAUUGCUGUGUCGGUGUAGGAGACUGCUGGGAGCAGCGUUGUGCAAAUACACCCUUUGCAUAUUGAAUACCACCUGUUCAAAUGAAAAACAAAACUAUUGUGCUGUUUGGGAUUCCUUCUCAAAAUAAAGUUCUAAUAAACGAAUCCAGUGCAUU
rnacentral:lncRNA from 7 species